rnacentral:rRNA from 1 species
UACAGAGGUCCCGAGCGUUGUUCGGAUUCAUUGGGCGUAAAGGGUGCGUAGGCGGCGGGGUAAGUUUGAUGUGAAAUCCCGGGGCUCAACCCUGGAAUUGCAUUGAAUACUACCUUGCUAGAGUACCGGAGAGGAAACUGGAAUUUACGGUGUAGCAGUGAAAUGCGUAGAGAUCGUAAGGAAGACCAGUGGCGAAGGCGAGUUUCUGGACGGUAACUGACGCUGAGGCACGAAGGCCAGGGGAGC